UGGAGAUAGCAAGUAUCUCAAAUGUCUUCCCACAUGUGAAUCAACACCUUACCUCUUCGCAUACCAAAAUUUGAACAUCCCUUAGCUUUUUUGGACGCACAGGGAAAGCUUUGGAAAUUAGAACACUUAUUCUGAGGACAUUUAUUUGCCACCUGCUAUGUGCACUGGAGAGAAGUAAGAAAAGCAGAAUUUAAAGGAUUCGGUAUCUAAUUGAUGUUGCCUUUCUUUUAUCCCUAAAUAUUAGCGGUACCUAAAGCUUGGCACUUGUAUUAUUAUUAGACUCUUGGUUCCAUCAGACCCAUGAAGAAGGUUUCGUGAAGAAAAAAGGUAUUGUUUUGAUCGUUCAACGUUUGAGGUCCCAACUGUGGAACAUCCAGAUUGAAACAGUCCCCUCAGGACUCAUGUUUGAGAGAUGAACGGAGCCAUCAGUAAAGAACGAUGAUGCUUGAAUACAUAUAAGUAGGUUGUGAAGUUUAAAAUUUUAUAGACUAGACUUGAUUUUGUUCCAUCCAGAUUUUUCUCUUUAAGGUUCAUUACUGUAUGCUUUGCUUUGGGUUAGGUUGCUUUAUAAGCUCCCUAAGAGUCAAGGCACUUGGGAAUGAGGACGUUCCCUAUUGUUAUAAGGGUUGAGGUAAAGUAUCUAUAGAUUUGAGAAGUAUGGCCUUCUCGCUGCUGAUGGCUACCCUAAU
rnacentral:lncRNA from 1 species